rnacentral:lncRNA from 1 species
GACCACAGGUUUCCAAUCACACGCAUUAACCAUCUGGGCUGUCCACAUAUUUGUUAAGGAUUCUGACCCGUAAUGUAUUUAAGAACUGAAUAAAUGCGCAGAAUUCAAAUCAAAUAACCGCCGGCACUGUUCAUCUUCUUCUUCGAUUACAUUUAUGACCGGAACUUGUUGAGACCUUUCAAGGUCUGUAACCGACACCCUCAUGUCUAUAUAAACCGACCCAAUAUUCCGUCAUCUUUUCCUUUGCACCCUAUCACCGAAACGAUAACCGAACCGAACCCGGAACUUCUUCGCGACUCGCCGGAGAAUCCAUCACCACCGGAGACCAUCCUCGCCGCCGGGAACCGCCUUCGUCGCCUCCGACCACCACCUUUCGUCGCCGUCUAACCGCCGGGUAAUUCUCUUGUGCGCGUUCUCUUGGGAAUUCUUGAUUCUAUUUUCUUUUCCAAAAUACGCAACGCAACCUAAGUGGUGGCUAUGAUGGUGUGCGAGGAGGACCUCCGCACAAGAUCUUAAGAUAAGGAGUGCAAGUGAAGGCGUUGAUCGAAAACCGGGGUGAUCCCAAAGUCCAUUUCCAGAUACAUUGGAGGAAACUCGAUCAUCAAUGCGAUAAACAACUCGUUUUUGGCUUGGGUACCAUGUUAUGUCCGCAAACUCAUGUUGUCUCCCGAAAGCGAUGACUUGAUCUGAUAAGUCCGUAUCAUUUUUUGCUAAGAAGGUAACAGAUCUCUUGAACAUGGGUUGUAACUUUAAAGUCACCUAUAGAUUAUGAGCUCAAAACAAAUGUAUUUAAGUAUGCAAAAGACCCUUUACAAUAAACACUAUUAAAAUCAAAGCUUAAUAUAAGAGCAUUUACAUUGUAUUCACCACCUUUAUCCUCAUAAUUUAGCUAACACAUUCAUCCCCGAAGGCAUUUGAAAGAAGAAACAAUUUCAAAUUCUAUUUCUAAAUUCUAAUUCUUGGAAAUAUUUUUGAAGUCUGGUCGCGAGGUUUGAUAUUGCUUGUACCGGUUUCCUAAGGUCACUUGCCCAACAUGCAUAAGAUACAAUUUACCUAAUUCCAUUGGUUAGCAGGUCAUUGGUGGAUAUUUAUGAGUUUUCUAGUAACAGAUUCUCAACGUUAAAAAAAAUGGUACUAAACCGACUGAAGUACCUGAGAAAUGACUCCAAGUACUCCAAGAGAAACCUUAGCUGCCUUCAUCUCACCAUCAAACUCACCGUUUUCUUGUAGAGUUCUCACUUUAGCAUAACCAUCUUCCUCACUUCCUGCGGUGACAAUCCGCAUUUGAACCACAUAAUCAUGAAUUGAACUACCAUCUCCCCAAAGGGUGCUACCGUGUGCACCGGUACCUAAAAGACCACCUAUCGUUAAGCCCCACCAAUAAGGAGUGUAAGGAAAAGCUAGCCCACUUUUUGCAGCUUCAUCAAUAAGUUGCCUCAACGUUACACCACUCUCUAAGGACAAACCAACUUUGGUAUACUGUGCGAGUAACGCGUAGCUACUCUCAUCUUUCUUUUUGCUCGCGUAGCGUUUGCAACUAUUGAGACAAUGUCUUGUUCGGAUGAAGGGUAUGCGGCCUCUGCUGCAUGACAAGUGCUACGGUCUGGGAAUGCGCCAUACGAGUUGGUAAUAGUGCAGUUUGUAAAAUUGUUCGAACAUUUAACGGGCUCUUCAGGGGGGUUACCGUUUGCUAGUAUGAUUAUCAAUAAGACCACCAAUUUCAGUAUCAAAACUGAUCUUAAUAGCAUGAUGAUAAAAGAAAUAGGAAAGGAUCAACAAAGGAGAUUUAUGCAACAUUUUAUAUGUUUAAACAAAUGAAAAGUUGCUUUCAUGGAUAAAAAUGUUUUUCAAGCAAAGGUAUAUGUAAGUGUCGCACUAUGUAUUUGUUUAUAUAGAACCUGAUUUCAUUCUGUAUACAUGUUCUCAAUUUUCCUUUGAAGUAAAGCACAUGACUCUUUUUAUCUUGAAAACCACUUUUUAAACAUAUAGUUGUUCAGUGUGAUAUUGUAUUUUAAUAAUUUUCGUUGAUUUAACAUUUAAUUAUAAGGGUAAGAUUAAAUAAAAAGUUUAUUUUGUCUAAGUAUGAUGAAAAUGAAUCUUAGACUAUGGGGUGUGAAGGAGCCGCAUCCUUUUCAUACGUAUUAGCACGCCACAAGUGGAGAGCCGAGAUCCUUUGGGUUAAAUGUCCGUCUAUCAGGUCAGUAAAGGGUUGAAGAUAUGAAAAGAUAAGAGAGUGAGUGUUGUCCGUAAAAAGUAGAGGAGAGAAGGAAAUAUGAUUUGGGUAGAGUAAUGUGGAAGCGGGUACAUACCCUUCUAGUGUCAAAUGUCAAGGGUUCGAGUACAUUAAACUAGAAUAAUGUUACAAGAAUUAUUAAUUUAGAUGUAGUAUGGUGUUUGUCAUACCGAAUACUUAUAAAAUUUUGACAAAACAAUAUCAUUAAUCAUUAUGAAUAUAUAUUUAUUCAACAAAAUUUAUAAGUGAUAUAGUUUUAGUAUUUUCUAUCGUAUGCCCUCUCUCUAUUUGUAAAUCAACUAAACAACUUUGAUAAUUUUUAUCUGAGUUAUUAACCUAAUAACCCCAAUAGAGCAUUCUUCAAACUUGCUCGAUGGUUUUGUAGAAGUGUAGAACUCAUAUGAAACAUAUUAAUACGUAAGCUUCUUAAGUGUAAAAAAUACUAAUAUAAAUAGAAAAAUAUUAAAAUAAAAUAUAUUUAAGAGUUAAAUAACUCGAAUGCUGUUACCAGGUCUUUUUGCAAGUUUGUUCCUCACUCUUUAAAAUUAGCCUUGUGCUACUCGAAUGCUCUAUAGCAGGUCUUUUUGCAAACUUGUUUCUUACUCUUUGAAAUUACGUUUGUGUUUUUCACUCUUCACUUAACAGUAAACAACGGUUGUCUUUGAAGUGGAUGAACAUUAGUUUCCGUUAAAAGACGUAUACAAAGAUUGUUUUACCCUUAAUGAUAAAU